GGGGAAUUUUCCGCAAUGGGCGAAAGCCUGACGGAGCAAUACCGCGUGAGGGAUGACGGCCUAUGGGUUGUAAACCUCUUUUUUCAGGGAGGAAUCAAAUGACGUGUACCCUGAAGAAUAAGCAUCGGCUAACUCCGUGCCAGCAGCCGCGGUAAGANCGGAGGAUGCAAGUGUUAUCCGGAAUCACUGGGCGUAAAGCGUCUGUAGGUGGUCCAAUAAGUCAACUGUUAAAUCUUGGGGCUCAACCUCAAAAUCGCAGUCGAAACUAUUAGACUAGAGUAUAGUAGGGGUAAAGGGAAUUUCCAGUGGAGCGGUGAAAUGCGUAGAGAUUGGAAAGAACACCGAUGGCGAAGGCACUUUACUGGGCUAUUACUAACACUCAGAGACGAAAGCUAGGGUAGCAAAUGGGAUUAGAUACCCCAGUAGUC
rnacentral:rRNA from 1 species